rnacentral:rRNA from 1 species
AUGAACGCUAGCUACAGGCUUAACACAUGCAAGUCGAGGGGCAGCAUGGUCUUAGCUUGCUAAGGCCGAUGGCGACCGGCGCACGGGUGAGUAACGCGUAUCCAACCUGCCGUCUACUCUUGGACAGCCUUCUGAAAGGAAGAUUAAUACAAGAUGGCAUCAUGAGUCCGCAUGUUCACAUGAUUAAAGGUAUUCCGGUAGACGAUGGGGAUGCGUUCCAUUAGAUAGUAGGCGGGGUAACGGCCCACCUAGUCUUCGAUGGAUAGGGGUUCUGAGAGGAAGGUCCCCCACAUUGGAACUGAGACACGGUCCAAACUCCUACGGGAGGCAGCAGUGAGGAAUAUUGGUCAAUGGGCGAGAGCCUGAACCAGCCAAGUAGCGUGAAGGAUGACUGCCCUAUGGGUUGUAAACUUCUUUUAUAAAGGAAUAAAGUCGGGUAUGGAUACCCGUUUGCAUGUACUUUAUGAAUAAGGAUCGGCUAACUCCGUGCCAGCAGCCGCGGUAAUACGGAGGAUCCGAGCGUUAUCCGGAUUUAUUGGGUUUAAAGGGAGCGUAGAUGGAUGUUUAAGUCAGUUGUGAAAGUUUGCGGCUCAACCGUAAAAUUGCAGUUGAUACUGGAUAUCUUGAGUGCAGUUGAGGCAGGCGGAAUUCGUGGUGUAGCGGUGAAAUGCUUAGAUAUCACGAAGAACUCCGAUUGCGAAGGCAGCCUGCUAAGCUGCAACUGACAUUGAGGCUCGAAAGUGUGGGUAUCAAACAGGAUUAGAUACCCUGGUAGUCCACACGGUAAACGAUGAAUACUCGCUGUUUGCGAUAUACUGCAAGCGGCCAAGCGAAAGCGUUAAGUAUUCCACCUGGGGAGUACGCCGGCAACGGUGAAACUCAAAGGAAUUGACGGGGGCCCGCACAAGCGGAGGAACAUGUGGUUUAAUUCGAUGAUACGCGAGGAACCUUACCCGGGCUUAAAUUGCAGUGGAAUGAUGUGGAAACAUGUCAGUGAGCAAUCACCGCUGUGAAGGUGCUGCAUGGUUGUCGUCAGCUCGUGCCGUGAGGUGUCGGCUUAAGUGCCAUAACGAGCGCAACCCUUGUUGUCAGUUACUAACAGGUUCCGCUGAGGACUCUGACAAGACUGCCAUCGUAAGAUGUGAGGAAGGUGGGGAUGACGUCAAAUCAGCACGGCCCUUACGUCCGGGGCUACACACGUGUUACAAUGGGGGGUACAGAGGGCCGCUACCACGCGAGUGGAUGCCAAUCCCCAAAACCUCUCUCAGUUCGGACUGGAGUCUGCAACCCGACUCCACGAAGCUGGAUUCGCUAGUAAUCGCGCAUCAGCCACGGCGCGGUGAAUACGUUCCCGGGCCUUGUACACACCGCCCGUCAAGCCAUGGGAGCCGGGGGUACCUGAAGUGCGUAACCGCGAGGAGCGCCCUAGGGUAAAACUGGUGACUGGGGCU